rnacentral:rRNA from 1 species
GAUGAACGCUGGCGGUCUGCUUAACACAUGCAAGUCGAACGAACUCUUCGGAGUGAGUGGCGGACGGGUGAGUAACGCGUGAGAAUCUGCCUGUGGGUCGGGGACAACCACUGGAAACGGUGGCUAAUACCGGAUGAGCCGAAAGGUAAAAGAUUUAUUGCCCACAGAUGAGCUCGCGUCUGAUUAGGCUAGUUGGUAAGUAAAAGCGUACCAAGGCGACGAUCAGUAGCUGGUCUGAGAGGAUGAGCAGCCACACUGGGACUGAGACACGGCCCAGACUCCUACGGAGCAGCAGUGGGAAUUUUCCGCAAUGGCGAAAGCCUGACGGAGCAAGACCGACGUGGGGAGAAGGUUUUUGGAUCGAAACCCUUUGUCA